rnacentral:rRNA from 1 species
CGACCGGCGCACGGGUGAGUAACGCGUGGGUAACCUGCCUCAUACAGGGGGAUAACAGUUGGAAACGGCUGCUAAUACCGCAUAAGCGCACAGUACCGCAUGGUACCGUGUGAAAAACUCCGGUGGUAUGAGAUGGACCCGCGUCUGAUUAGCUAGUUGGUGGGGUAACGGCCUACCAAGGCAACGAUCAGUAGCCGACCUGAGAGGGUGACCGGCCACAUUGGGACUGAGACACGGCCCAAACUCCUACGGGAGGCAGCAUG